rnacentral:rRNA from 1 species
CACCAGGUUGAUUCUGCCUGACGUAGAUGCUAGUCUCUAAGAUUAAGCCAUGCAUGUCUAUGCAAUAAGGACGAACAGCUCAGUAGAACUGCGAUUAUUUAGUCUGUUUGAUAGAGAUAACUACGUGAAAAAUGUAGCUAAGAGAGAACAGAAUAAGACGCAGGACUAUCAGUUAGUUGGUAGUGUAAUGGACUACCAAGACGAUGACGGGUAACGGGGAAUCAGGGUUUGAUACCGGAGAGGGAGCCUGAGAGAUAGCUCCCACGUCCAUGGACGGCAGCAGGCGCGAAAAUUGCCCACUCUUUGUAGGAGGCAGUUAUGAGACGUGAGAAUGAAUAUUCAGUAAAGAUGAAUAGGAGAAUUGGAGGGCAAGUUUGGUGCCAGCAGCCGCGG